GAUGAACGCUGGCGGCGUGCCUAAUACAUGCAAGUCGAGCGAACAGACGAGGAGCUUGCUCCUCUGACGUUAGCGGCGGACGGGUGAGUAACACGUGGAUAACCUACCUAUAAGACUGGGAUAACUUCGGGAAACCGGAGCUAAUACCGGAUAAUAUAUUGAACCGCAUGGUUCAAUAGUGAAAGACGGUUUUGCUGUCACUUAUAGAUGGAUCCGCGCCGCAUUAGCUAGUUGGUAAGGUAACAGCUUACCAAGGCAACGAUGCGUAGCCGACCUGAGAGGGUGAUCGGCCACACUGGAACUGAGACACGGUCCAGACUCCUACGGGAGGCAGCAGUAGGGAAUCUUCCGCAAUGGGCGAAAGCCUGACGGAGCAACGCCGCGUGAGUGAUGAAGGUCUUCGGAUCGUAAAACUCUGUUAUUAGGGAAGAACAAAUGUGUAAGAAACUAUGCACGUCUUGACGGUACCUAAUCAGAAAGCCACGGCUAACUACGUG
rnacentral:rRNA from 1 species